GACGAACGCUGGCGGCGUGCUUAACACAUGCAAGUCGAACGGAAAGGCCCUGCUUUUGUGGGGUGCUCGAGUGGCGAACGGGUGAGUAACACGUGAGUAACCUGCCCUUGACUUUGGGAUAACUUCAGGAAACUGGGGCUAAUACCGGAUAGGAGCUCCUGCUGCAUGGUGGGGGUUGGAAAGUUUCGGCGGUUGGGGAUGGACUCGCGGCUUAUCAGCUUGUUGGUGGGGUAGUGGCUUACCAAGGCUUUGACGGGUAGCCGGCCUGAGAGGGUGACCGGCCACAUUGGGACGGAGAUACGGCCAAGACUCCUACGGGAGGAAGAAGUGGGGAAUAUUGCACAAUGGGCGGAAGCCUGAUGCAGCAACGCCGCGUGCGGGAUGACGGCCUUCGGGUUGUAAACCGCUUUCGCCUGUGACGAAGCGUGAGUGACGGUAAUGGGUAAAGAAGCACCGGCUAACUAAG
rnacentral:rRNA from 1 species